rnacentral:lncRNA from 1 species
GCCAACCCUGGUCCCAUCUCGUCAUGCUCACCCACUGCAGAAGAGAGGAGGUUCUCACAGUAGACGAGGAGCCUGUUUUUCAGCUAGCUGCGGCAAGGGGGCUGGAAAUUUCUCCCUUCAGAGUGGACCUGGAAGGCUUGGAAGCAUCUGGAGAAGGGCGUGGCCACAAGUAGAGAAAUCGAGGCUACAGGCAGAAGUGGGAGGA